AUUGAACGCUGGCGGCAUGCUUUACACAUGCAAGUCGAACGGUAACAGGGUGCUUGCACCGCUGACGAGUGGCGAACGGGUGAGUAAUGCGUCGGAACGUGCCGAGUAGUGGGGGAUAACGCAGCGAAAGUUGUGCUAAUACCGCAUACGUACUGAGGUAGAAAGUGGGGGACCUUCGGGCCUCACGCCAUUCGAGCGGCCGACGUCUGAUUAGCUAGUAGGUGAGGUAAAGGCUCACCUAGGUGACGAUCAUGAGCGGGUCUGAGAGGAUGAUCCGCCACACUGGGACUGAGACACGGCCCAGACUCCUACGGGAGGCAGCAGUGGGGAAUUUUGGACAAUGGGCGAAAGCCUGAUCCAGCCAUGCCGCGUGUCUGAAGAAGGCCUUCGGGUUGUAAAGGACUUUUGUCAGGGAGGAAAUCCCUAGUGCUAAUAACACUGGGGGAUGACAGUACCUGAAGAAUAAGCACCGGCUAACUACGUGCCAGCCGCCGCGGUAAAAC
rnacentral:rRNA from 1 species